UAUUUAUAUAUUUCUUAAUUUUAGGGCAAACUGUUUGCCGAGAAGUAUCCCAGUUGAUGGCUGAUAAGCCCCCUCUCAAUCUCCUCCAAAAUGAAAAUGAUUAAAGCAUAGUUCAAUGCGUUUCAAAAGGUCGAAGUGCAGAGGGUCGGCAUAAUUAUGCUCGCCACACAAAAGCCGACAGCCGACGACAAGUACCGAGAAACGUCUACAAAUACUUGAAUUUUUUAAGAAGAUGCGGAACUUUAGCAGGAUUAGGCAAAGACGAGCGAACUUAAAAGAAACAUAUAAUGGUAUAAUAUAAUUUAUGGCCAUGGCUGCGAACGGCAACAUCUUCUCGAAUCUUGUCAAAGAGGGGUGGGUCCGUCUCCUCUUGUAAUACUACACUUAAUGUAGUCUGUCGUCGCUAUUGUUCUAGUUUGCUGUUGUUGACUUAACUACAGAUUGCCGACUCUCUACCCGGGCCAUGUCAUGUUCGAAAUGGAGUGGAAGUGUGACAAGUUCAUUGUACGACUGAACUUCGGCCCUGGCCCCGCUUGCAACAACAAAAACUUUUGGACACUGCAGCAAAUCAUUGAACAAAUAUAUGAUGAGCUGCAAAGUUCAAUUUCGUUUCAUUUAUCAAAUAAAUAAAAUGUAUGGCAGACCA